rfam:Schistosoma haematobium scaffold1_5, whole genome shotgun sequence.
AUCCAGCUGACGAGUCCCAAGAUAAGACGAAACAAGUGUCCUGUAU